AGUUGAUCCUGGCUUAGGACGAACGCUGGCGGCGUGCCUAAUACACGCAAGUCGAACGGCUUUUCUAUGGAAGCUUGCUUCCACUGAGAAGAUAGUGGCGAACGGGUGAGUAACACGUGGGUAACCUGCCCAUAAGAGGGGGGAUAACAUCCGGAAACGGGUGCUAAUACCGCAUAGUUUUCUUGAUCGCAUGAUCGGGAAAGGAAAGACGGCCUUUGUGCUGUCGCUUAUGGAUGGACCCGCGGCGUAUUAGUUAGUUGGUGAGGUAACGGCUCACCAAGACGAUGAUACGUAGCCGACCUGAGAGGGUGAUCGGCCACAUUGGGACUGAGACACGGCCCAAACUCCUACGGGAGGCAGCAGUAGGGAAUCUUCCGCAAUGGACGAAAGUCUGACGGAGCAACGCCGCGUGAGUGAAAGAAGGUUUUCGGAUCGUAAAACUCUGUUGUCAGAGAAGAACAAGUUGGAGAGUAACUGCUCCAGCCUUGACGGUAUCUGACCAGAAAGCCACGGCUAACUACGUGCCAGCCGCCGC
rnacentral:rRNA from 1 species